UCUUAGCCCUGAUAGAGCGGUUUGUUUGAGCUCUUUUUAGAUUGUUUUUAUAAAAAGAUAUUUUUAUAAAAACAAUCUAGCGAAGCGAAAAAAAGCGAGUAGCGAAAGCAGGAAAUAGC
rnacentral:misc_RNA from 1 species